rnacentral:rRNA from 1 species
AACAUGUGAACUAAAUCAGCAACUAAUUUUUGUUGUUGAACACUCAUUCAUUUAUACAAUGGGAUAAUCUUCGGAGGCUUGCUGUGUAAGUUGAUGAGAGAACAAUUGGGCACGGCUCAGUGCCAAGGAAAAUAUUUAGCGUGAGCAUUAAUGACAUUAUUCUGAAGCAUAUGUUUUGGGGGAUUGUUAUUUUCUCCUUAAGAGUUAUAUGACUCUCGGCAAUGGAUAUCUUGGCUCUCGCAUCGAUGAAGAGCGCAGCGAAAUGCGAUACGUGGUGCGAAUUGUAGAAUCCCGUGAAUCAUCGAGUUUUUGAACGCAAGUUGCGCCUGAGGCCAACUGGCCAAGGGCACGCCCGCCUGGGCGUCAAGCAUUACAUCACUCCAUUUGGCACACACCAUUGAUCAGUCACUUGGUUGCGUAGUCUUGGAUGUGGAGAAUGGCUCGUCAUGCAAUGUUGUGUGGCGGGUUAAAGAGCGGGAUUAUUUUCUCUUGGUGAUGAUCGAUACAUGGGUGGGAUGGAAACCCCAAUUGAUCCUCAUCAUCGUAUGAUCGCCAUGAGAAAGAUAAUAAAUCCCGAGCUAACCUAGCUCAAGUUGGAAGCAAAUUGAAAUGCGACCCCAGGAUGGGCGGGGUGACCCGCUGAGUUUAAGCAUAUCAAUAA